rnacentral:lncRNA from 1 species
CUCUGACUUCAGUAUGCAGUAAAUCCACAGGCAUCUGAUAGUAGGACAUGCUAGAGGAUUGGCGUGUACUGUGUGCUUGAGAAAAUUCCUUGAACUUAAGAAAUUGUUUAGCUAUUGAUUAUUUGUCUGCUUUGAUUUGUGGUGGAAAUGUGUGCCUGGAAAGGGAGAAGGGGUCUCAGUCAUGUACUUUUCUGUUGAAAUGGAUAUGAGCGGUGUCGAGCAAUUCUUAGGAUGAUUGCUUCUUCCCACAUCCAAAUAUUUCGGAUGUUUCUUUUGCAGCGCCUAAUUAACAAAUAGUU